rnacentral:rRNA from 1 species
UGACGUACUUGUACUGAUUGAGAUUUUAACACGAAGUGAGUGGCGAACGGGUGAGUAACACGUGGGUAACCUGCCCAGAAGUAGGGGAUAACACCUGGAAACAGAUGCUAAUACCGUAUAACAGAGAAAACCGCAUGGUUUUCUUUUAAAAGAUGGCUCUGCUAUCACUUCUGGAUGGACCCGCGGCGUAUUAGCUAGUUGGUGAGGUAAAGGCUCACCAAGGCAGUGAUACGUAGCCGACCUGAGAGGGUAAUCGGCCACAUUGGGACUGAGACACGGCCCAGACUCCUACGGGAGGCAGCAGUAGGGAAUCUUCCACAAUGGACGCAAGUCUGAUGGAGCAACGCCGCGUGAGUGAAGAAGGGUUUCGGCUCGUAAAGCUCUGUUGUUAAAGAAGAACGUGGGUAAGAGUAACUGUUUACCCAGUGACGGUAUUUAACCAGAAAGCCACGGCUAACUACGUGCCAGCAGCCGCGGUAAUACGUAGGUGGCAAGCGUUAU